GCAUGCGCAGUGGCGUCCGCCGGCGAGACCGUCCGCCGGUGGACCGUCCGUGCCUGUCCAGUCUCGGCGGCUGGGUGGCGCGAGCUUUUUGAGUAACGUGAAAUGGAAAUUAUCGUGGUCACCUUGCCCUGUGAGGGGGUUCUUCAGCAGUUGGAAAGAUGAGCUCACUUCUGAAGACGCAUAACUGGAAGGCAGUGAUGAACAGUAAGCCAGAGACGGCCACUCUUCUGCAGCCAAAGCAAAUAGACUCAUAUCAGAUAAGCACUUCAAUUAAAGAUUUGUAUGCUCGCUUUCAGGGAGGUGGAAAGUUCUAAAGUGUCAGCUUUUGCUGAUCCAGCCAUCUGGCUUGAGCUCUUCCUGCCUAUCCUCCCCCACUAAUAAAAGUUGUCAUAUUUUUCUGGAUGGGAUCUGCUGCAGAGGGGAAGUCCUUGAAACCCUGAUUCAAUGGAGGACAUUAGAGAGCCUCUGAGGCUUCAUUGGAUAUUAAGUGCCUUCCCCAGACGGGAGAAAACAAACUCCACAGGCCUAAGAGUCUUCGAAAGUCAUGGUUCUACUGCACAGCAGAGUGAGCAUUCAGCUUACAGGCCCAGCAUCUUCUGUGUCAAGAGAUAUGGAAGAGAAGCAGCCAGAGGAGGUUCUGAUGCUAAUUGUCACUGAAAACAUCAAUCAUAGAGCAUUUGCAAAGAUGGGAGGAGAUGGUAAGAAUUUUUCUGCUCUAAUGUGAGAAUAGCCGUGAUGAAAAGCGUGCCUCUAACACACGUCGGACAGAAAUCUUACAGCGUUUGCGCGCCUAACUCUUGAAGGCGUAUGGUCAUUCUUGGGUAUUCUGUUGAAGCUGCCCUUUUAUAAGACAUAUUCAGUGAAGGGAUUUUAAAACUUAAAUGUAUUAGAACUAGCUUUAAGUAACCCACCUAAAAGGCACAUUUCCAACCACUUUUUUUCCCUUACUCUAACUAAUAAAAAAAACUAAUAUUGUAAGAGAAUCACACCCAACUCACGUGGUAUAUAUGAUGUUUUACACCAACCCCAUGCCUUCAUAUAGCAAUUAUAUAUAGUUAUCUUUGCUUUAAUGACUUGCUACUAAGAAUUAUGUCUUUUUGGAGCAAAUAAUCUAAAUAUGAUGAGUUGAUCCUGAUAUAUCAAAUUGUUUUGAAAUGAAAACAUUCCCCUAAGAUAACUGCUGGUUUGCCUUCCUAUUCUCCUGCUUUGGACUCUCAGAGCGAGUUACAUCUGUAUUAGUAUGUAUUCAGGUAUAAAAUUCCUAAGUAUUAAGAA